rnacentral:rRNA from 1 species
GUGGGGAAUCUUGCGCAAUGGGCGAAAGCCUGACGCAGCCAUGCCGCGUGAAUGAUGAAGGUCUUAGGAUUGUAAAAUUCUUUCACCGGGGACGAUAAUGACGGUACCCGGAGAAGAAGCUCCGGCUAACUCCGUGCCAGCAGCCGCGGUAAUACGAAGGGGGCUAGCGUUGCUCGGAAUUACUGGGCGUAAAGGGCGCGUAGGCGGACAGCUUAGUCAGAGGUGAAAGCUCAGGGCUCAACCUUGGAAUUGCCUUUGAUACUGGCUGGCUUGAGUUUGGGAGAGGUGAGUGGAACUCCGAGUGUAGAGGUGAAAUUCGUAGAUAUUCGGAAGAACACCAGUGGCGAAGGCGACUCACUGGCCCAAUACUGACGCUGAGGCGCGAAAGCGUGGGGAGCAAACAGGAUUAGAUACCCUUGUAGUCC